AUGCACAGUGCUUCAGCUUUUCAUUGUUGUUGUCACAUUGGAAUUCUGGAGGGGCUGCGCUGGUUCUGGCUCUGUCUCUCGUUUGCUUCUUCUCAGGUACUCUCCACCCGCGCCCAGUCACUUGACUGCACCAUCACUUUCUGCGGAGGUACCCUCCGUCCAGAAGCGCUUCAGGAGGAAGUUGGCUACAUGAUUUGGAAAGCAUGCAGGGAAGGGAGAACAAAAGUGAAUGAGGAGGGUAGCAGGCGAGGAAGAGGACACGGAGGAAGAACUGACCAUCCAAGGUCGGACGAGCAGUGUUUGUUUGCUGCUUCAUCAUUGCGGGCUCGCCGGAGCGGCCUCCUCCCGUCGUCGUCGUCGCCGGUCGCCCUUCGUCCCAAGCCCAAGUCGCACGCGCUCCCCGCGCGUGGAUGGAUCUCUGUUUCUACUAUAUAUAGAGAUGAAGGUUGGUGUGGAGUUGGGAGUUGGAACCAGGAGGGAGUGAUCCAUGGCCAGAGGGAAAGUCAUCCUGUGGAUCGGUGA
rnacentral:rRNA from 1 species